UUGGAGGGCAAGUCUGGUGCCAGCAGCCGCGGUAAUUCCAGCUCCAAUAGCGUAUAUUAAAGUUGUUGCAGUUAAAAAGCUCGUAGUUGAAUUUCGGGAUUGACGUGACGGUCGUGCCUUAAGGGGUAUGAACUGUCGCAGUUGAUUUCUCACCUUCAGGAGAAGCAUGAUGUCCUUAAUUGGGUGUCAUGUGGAACCAGGACCUUCACCUUGAAAAAAUUAGAGUGUUUAAAGCAGGCAUUUUGCUCGAAUACAUUAGCAUGGAAUAAUAGAAUAGGACGGCAUGGUUCUAUUUUGUUGGUUUCUAGGAUCACCGUAAUGAUUAAUAGGGAUAGUUGGGGGCAUUAGUAUUCAAUUGUCAGAGGUGAAAUUCUUGGAUUUAUUGAAGACUAACUACUGCGAAAGCAUUUGCCAAGGAUGUUUUCAUUAAUCAAGAACGAAAGUUAGGGGAUCGAAGACGAUCAGAUACCGUCGUAGUCUUAACCAUAAACUACGCCGACUAGGGAUCGGACGAAGUUAAUUUUAUAAUGACGCGUUCGGCGCCUUACAGGAAAC
rnacentral:rRNA from 1 species